rnacentral:rRNA from 1 species
GAUCCUGGCUCAGAUUGAACGCUGGCGGCAGGCCUAACACAUGCAAGUCGAGCGGAUGAGAGGAGCUUGCUCCUCGAUUCAGCGGCGGACGGGUGAGUAAUGCCUAGGAAUCUGCCUAGUAGUGGGGGACAACGUUUCGAAAGGAACGCUAAUACCGCAUACGUCCUACGGGAGAAAGUGGGGGAUCUUCGGACCUCACGCUAUUAGAUGAGCCUAGGUCGGAUUAGCUAGUUGGUAGGGUAAAGGCCUACCAAGGCGACGAUCCGUAACUGGUCUGAGAGGAUGAUCAGUCACACUGGAACUGAGACACGGUCCAGACUCCUACGGGAGGCAGCAGUGGGGAAUAUUGGACAAUGGGCGAAAGCCUGAUCCAGCCAUGCCGCGUGUGUGAAGAAGGCCUUCGGGUCGUAAAGCACUUUAAGUUGGGAGGAAGGGCUCAUAGCGAAUACCUGUGAGUUUUGACGUUACCAACAGAAUAAGCACCGGCUAACUUCGUGCCAGCAGCCGCGGUAAUACGAAGGGUGCAAGCGUUAAUCGGAAUUACUGGGCGUAAAGCGCGCGUAGGUGGCUUGAUAAGUUGGAUGUGAAAUCCCCGGGCUCAACCUGGGAACUGCAUCCAAAACUGUCUGGCUAGAGUGCGGUAGAGGGUAGUGGAAUUUCCAGUGUAGCGGUGAAAUGCGUAGAUAUUGGAAGGAACACCAGUGGCGAAGGCGACUACCUGGACUGAC